AUGCAAGUUGAACGGUAACAGAUCCAGCAAUGGAUGCUGACGAGUGGCGCACGGGUGCGUAACGCGUAUGCAACCUACCUUUAACUGAGGAAUAGCUCCGAGAAAUCGGGAUUAAUCCCUCAUAAUAUUUUUGAAAGGCAUCUUUUAAAAAUUAAAGUUUCGACGGUUAUUGAUGGGCAUGCGUGGCAUUAGUUUGUUGGUGAGGUAACGGCUCGCCAAGACAUCGAUGCCUAGGGGGCCUGAGAGGGUGAUCCCCCACACUGGUACUGAGACACGGACCAGACUCCUACGGGAGGCAGCAGUAAGGAAUAUUGGGCAAUGGACGAAAGUCUGACCCAGCCAUGCCGCGUGCAGGAUGACGGCCCUAGUGGUUGUAAACUGCUUUUAUACGGGAAGAAAAGUUCCAACGUGUUGGAAUGUGACUGUACCGUAUGAAUAAGCAUCGGCUAACUCCGUGCCAGCAGCCGCGGUAAUACGGAGGAUGCAAGCGUUAUCCGGAUUCAUUGGGUUUAAAGGGUGCGUAGGCGGAUUGGUAAGUCAGUGGUGAAAUCCUCUCGCUUAACGGGAG
rnacentral:rRNA from 1 species